UUUGAGGAAGUAAAAGUCGUAACAAGGUCUCCGUUGGUGAACCAGCGGAGGGAUCAUUACUGAGUUUACGCUCUAUAACCCUUUGUGAACAUACCUAUAACUGUUGCUUCGGCGGGUAGGGUCUCCGCGACCCUCCCGGCCUCCCGCCCCCGGGCGGGUCGGCGCCCGCCGGAGGAUAACCAAACUCUGAUUUAACGACGUUUCUUCUGAGUGGUACAAGCAAAUAAUCAAAACUUUUAACAACGGAUCUCUUGGUUCUGGCAUCGAUGAAGAACGCAGCGAAAUGCGAUAAGUAAUGUGAAUUGCAGAAUUCAGUGAAUCAUCGAAUCUUUGAACGCACAUUGCGCCCGCCAGCAUUCUGGCGGGCAUGCCUGUUCGAGCGUCAUUUCAACCCUCAAGCUCUGCUUGGUGUUGGGGCCCUACAGCUGAUGUAGGCCCUCAAAGGUAGUGGCGGACCCUCCCGGAGCCUCCUUUGCGUAGUAACUUUACGUCUCGCACUGGGAUCCGGAGGGACUCUUGCCGUAAAACCCCCCAANUCCAAAGGUGACCUCGA
rnacentral:rRNA from 1 species